UUCUGCCCAGAAAGGCAUUUUCAAAGGGCUCUGACUGCUGGAUUAGUCAUGCUCAUUUUUCAGGUGGUGUAUACAACUGUAGAAUAUUUAACCACCAUUAAAUGUUUUUCCAGCUGGAACUGUUUCGUGCAGAACUCACCCAUUUAAUCAAUUUAUCUCCUUCGUCGUGAGGUUACAACUGGUGUGACUGCAAAGAAGGGAGAGAAAAGGAGAAAAUGAGAUGCUCCAUUAGAAAACACCAUUCAGAAGUGACAGAUUAAGCCACUUGAAAUGAAGGCAAACGAGUGUUUUUCCAGACUGUGUGAAGACCCACAUUAGAAAAGACUCCAGUUUCCUCCCCCACCCCCAUUUCCUUUGAAACUAAAACAAAAAAAUAGGACUCUCAUCAAAACCCUGAAGUAGGAGAAAAAUCCAUCUGCUCAGCUAAUGAAGAUGACUGGUACAAGUCUGUGCUGAUGACUGUCCCCACCUUCAUCUCUUUAAAGCUUAAGCAGGAUAAGACACAAAGAAGAGCUGCAGUAGCAAGAGGAGUUUGGAACUGAAGAAAGACCUGAAGAAAAGAAGCCUUGGGUUGGAUCCCCUCAACCCCAGAAGACAGAGUUGAGUACAGCACACAUUUGCAUUGGCUUCAGGUGCUCAUUUGCUGAAGAACAAAGUGCCAAGGAACAGAAAUUAGGAGUGUGAGAAAGCACAGCAGCUCACCAGGUGUGCAGGUGAGGACAGACAGCUACGAUUAAAAGCAGGUUCAUUACAGAGCUGAUAAGGGAGUAAGCCCUGAUGGGUCUUUAACGAGGUGCCCAGCUGGAGCACCAGUGC